CAGCCGCCGCGGUAAUACGUAGGGUGCGAGCGUUAAUCGGAAUUACUGGGCGUAAAGCAUGCGCAGGCGGUUGUGUAAGACAGGUGUGAAAUCCCCGGGCUUAACCUGGGAACUGCGCUUGUGACUGCACAGCUAGAGUAUGGCAGAGGGGGGUGGAAUUCCACGUGUAGCAGUGAAAUGCGUAGAGAUGUGGAGGAACACCGAUGGCGAAGGCAGCCCCCUGGGCCAAUACUGACGCUCAUGCACGAAAGCGUGGGGAGCAAACAGGAUUAGAUACCCCUGUAGUCCCUGUCUCUUAUAC
rnacentral:rRNA from 1 species